GUGGCCACAGUCAACGUCCUGAUUCGGCCUGAUGGAGAGAAGAAGGCAUAUGUUCGACUGGCUCCUGAUUACGAUGCUUUGGAUGUUGCCAACAAACUUGGGAUCAUCUAAACUGAGUCCAGCUAGCUGAUUCUAAAUAGAUGUAUAUCUUUUCACCCUAAAAAAAAGGAAAUAAUGUUUUUCAUAAGAAUGACAACUUAAAAUCUUAAAGCUUAUAGAUUUGAUUCUAAUUAUCUACUGUUCUCUUCCUACAAACUGAACGAAAAUGAAAAGGAAGUCAUUUCUGCAUGUGUCACAGAGGCAUCCUUUGGUUCUAAAGGGAGCUGAGUUGGAUUCCACAAGCGUAUGGUCCUUGUAGCAUGUGAAUAGGAUUCAGUCACGGACGAGAAGGAAGGGUUCGGGGAGACUGUCACCGCCCUGUCCAGGCUAACACUCCAGCUGCCCAGGUGACAGGCUGGCCUGUGUUUGUGUUGUAUUUCAGAGGAGAGCCUGGUGUCACUUACAGCAGACAUUGCAGAUGCCUCAGCAUUUCGGAUGAAGACGGUGCAGGUGGAGCUGUGCAGUCCUGCACUGAAGCCCUGCAGUCCUGACUUCUCAUGGAGCU
rnacentral:lncRNA from 1 species